UUGAACUAUUGUAUGAUAUAGUACAUAUGCUAUAUGGUGUGCAAUGUGGGUAUAAUUUAAUCUCAUCUGAAGGUAAUGCUGCAAAUAAAAUGUUCACUAAGUUUCUUUCUUGCUAAAAAAAAUGCUCACUAAAUUAACAUUACAGGAAUAUUUGUAGGAUUUUGCAUCAACAUCAUAGUUUCAAACAAAAGAAAAGGUCAGCUCCUAAAACACAAAACUAUGUUUAAUGUUUGGAUUGACAGUGACUUUCACAGAACCGCCACUGUGAUAUUGACAAAAACUACACUUUAGAUCUUCAAAAAUAUCCGUGUCAUCUUGAUUUUACUAAAAUCACUGCAAAUCCAGAUGUGCAUUCAUAUAUGAAUUUUGUUAAACUCACCACAAAUCUAAACAUGCACUAAUGCGUGGAUAUAUGGUA
rnacentral:lncRNA from 1 species